rnacentral:rRNA from 1 species
AGUGAACGCCGGCGGUAGGCCUAACACAUGCAAGUCGAACGGCAGCACAGUAAGAGCUUGCUCUUACGGGUGGCGAGUGGCGGACGGGUGAGGAAUACAUCGGAAUCUACUUUUUCGUGGGGGAUAACGUAGGGAAACUUACGCUAAUACCGCAUACGACCUACGGGUGAAAGCAGGGGAUCUUCGGACCUUGCGCGAUUGAAUGAGCCGAUGUCGGAUUAGCUAGUUGGCGGGGUAAAGGCCCACCAAGGCGACGAUCCGUAGCUGGUCUGAGAGGAUGAUCAGCCACACUGGAACUGAGACACGGUCCAGACUCCUACGGGAGGCAGCAGUGGGGAAUAUUGGACAAUGGGCGCAAGCCUGAUCCAGCCAUACCGCGUGGGUGAAGAAGGCCUUCGGGUUGUAAAGCCCUUUUGUUGGGAAAGAAAAGCAGCAGGUUAAGACCCCGCUGUUCUGACGGUACCCAAAGAAUAAGCACCGGCUAACUUCGU